UCGUACGUGACCUGCGGAGGWCAUUA
rnacentral:rRNA from 1 species